GGUGGCUCAGUAGUAGAGUGCUUGCCUUGCAUGCAUGAGGCUCUGGGUUCAAUUCCUCAGUACCA
rnacentral:tRNA from 1 species